rnacentral:lncRNA from 1 species
CACCACUGUUGCCCUCACACAGGUUAACUCGGAAGACAAAGGUGCUUUGGCUAAGCUGGUGGAAGCCAUCAGGACCAAUUACAAGGACAGAUAUGAUAAGAUCUGCCAUCGCUGGGGAGGCAAUGUCCUGGGUUCCCGGGACAUUGUGUCUUGCAUCGUCAAGCUUGAAAAGGCAGAGGCUAAAGAACUUGCCACUAAACUGGGUUAAGUGUACACUGUUGAGUUUUCUGUACAUAAAAAUAAUUAAAACAAUACAAAUUUUCCUUCAAAAAAAAAAAAGAAAUUAACAUAUGCUAAAGCUAUUCUGGAUAUCUUUAGAAAAAACAGGAAAUAGGCCUUAAGAAGUUUAUCAAUUAAGGAACCACAAAUGAAAAAAAAUCGUUUAUUUAAAAAAAUCAAUAUUUGAAUUGCAAUCUGAUGAUUUUUCUAAUAACCUGGAAGAUAAUGGCAAUACAGAGAAGAAACACUUCAUUCAGAAGAUACUCUCUCUCUUUCCUGCUGCCUUAUGAAGAAGGUGCCUGGUUCUCCUUUGCUUUCUGCCAUGAUUGUAAAUUUCCUGAGGCCUCCCCAGCCAUGUGGAACUUGGAGUGGUGCUGUUUGUCUCCAGGGAGUUAUUUUAGAGAAUCAGUGUUGAUCUCUGCUAUUGGCCAACUGGGAACUCAGAAGUAGUAAAGUCUCAGUGAGUAAAAGGCCAUGAUACUGAGUGAAAGCAAAAACUCCACCCCUGCUGCCAUGACUCCUUUGUGCAUGAACAUACUGCCAAGGAUGGAGUCGACUGUGGAAAGAGGCCGAGUGACAGUCAGAAAUGAGGUAUCUGGGCCAUUUGAUCAUUAAGUUCCUCUUUUGCUGAGACUGCUCAUUAGUGAGUAUUUAUAUAUGAUAUAAACAUUCUUACUAUCUGUGCCUAUUCAGAGGUGUCACAUAUCUCACCCCCAAACCUGUCUGUCAUUAAUUUUCUAACAGUGUUCAUUCAAAAUUUUUGACAUCAGACCAAACCAUUAUCAAUGCUCAUGAAUCUGUGUAGAUCUGCAUACUGACACAUGUCUUUUUCUAAGCAAAAUGAAAAAUCAGGAGUAUUGUUCUAAAGUCUGACUACUGGAAGGAUUUCCUUUCAUCCUUUAGGUCUACCCCUGAAGUGGGGCUGUAAUGUUGCAGCCCUUCAUUUUUGGGUCAUGCCAGAAUAUUUUGCAGAAUACGAUUUCUUCAUCUGAAUAUUUUCUUUAUCAUUCAACUGGUCACAGUGAAAGUCUCAUAAAAUGACUGGUGUAGACUGAGAGAGAGGAAAUAGAGCUCUAGUGGAGCUACAGGAGUUGGAUACAUUUGCUGAUACUCAUACCUCAGGACCUACUCAAUCCUGAUAUCAUCUCUACUACUUUUUCCUGAUGAAGAAGUAUUGUUGUGCUCAUUCAACUUCAUAGCUUGGAGGUCCGAUAACUCCCAGUUCAUCAUGGGUAGCUCAGAAAACAUGGUAACUUUAGGGCCAGUGAUAGAUAUUUCAUCUCUAUUUAGCCUCACUGGUAAGCCAUACCUAUUUUUCAAAAGGGAAAUAGUUGUCUACAGUGGAUAGCAUUACAUUGCACUAAAAUCUUACAGGUCUUUGCUAUAUUUCACCUGUAGUAACUGGUCAAAGACUCCAUUCAGCAUCCAUAUAUGCCACAGACACUUCAAACACCGGUGAAUCUUCUGGGUCAUAUGACCCAUCUUCAGAACAACUUGCAAAGCAGCCUGGAACUAUUGCAGAGUUGCCUUGUGUUUUGGGCCCACUCAAAACAUGCAGCCUUUCACAUUUCUUAGUAAAUGAUUUGGAAGAGCACACUCAAAUAAAUUAGUUGAUGCCCCCAAAUUACAAAGAAGCCUCUAGGUCUCUUUCUUCAUGGUAGGAGAGGCUUUUUCACCAUAAGGGCCAAUGCAAUGUGCCUAGAUGACUGGACUCCUAGAAAUUUCAGUCAUGUGUGAGAUCCCUGAAUUUUCAUGAGAGUUCUUUCCCAUCCUUUGGUCUACAUGUAUCAUACCAGUGUUUCCAUUUCCUACUCACCGGAACAUUCCAGUCAAUCUGACGUCACUGUUCUAGAUGAGCAUCACGUUCUGUGGGAUGAAGAGGUUAUCAGAGUGCUUGAAAAGGAAAAAUGACAGAGGGAUGAAGAGUUGGAAACAAACUAAUCCUGGUCAUCUUUACAAGCAAGUGAAAAGAAAAAAAAAACCCAUUCACCCAUUAACUCAAUUGCUGCGUACCAGGUACCAAGGGCUAUGUUGAUUUAUUCUAGUCAAGAGACCACAUGUGGAAUAGUUGCUGCAACUGGAGUUACCAUCUGAUUAAAUUUAUCAUAAUUCAGUGCAUUCACAUUUCUAGUGGCUUCUACUUGGCCUUUCCUACUAUAAUAUCCCUCACUUAAUGAGUCAGGAAACAGCUUUGAGGACUCUGCCAAUUGUUAAAUAUAUCUAUUUCAAAUUUGCUUUCUGGGACUGAAGAAAUUAUUGCAGCGUGGCGAAUAGAAGGCCUACUGGAGCCACUGUCAGACAGACAUGCAUCAAAGCUGUAUCAUCUGGCUUCCAUAAAACUCUGUCUGGACCAGUGGACAAGAAGUGGGCUUUUACUUCUCCCAAAUUAGAUAUAAUUUAGAGUUAGGGUUCAAAAAUUACCUCAGAGUUUGGUGUUUUCCUUUUUUCAAUGCAUUUACUUUGGUAAAUGUCCAUAGUCCCCUUGGGGAAGGCUAGGAGGAAAAAUUACAAGAUAAAUUUGGGCCAUAUAGGAAGUUCACUCCUCAAGGAAACCCAGGCCUCUCUAUAAACUGGCUCAAGUCUGGGAAUUGGUUUAAGGACUAGGACUCUCUAUGGAGAUUAUUUAUGUUAGAUUUCUGUUUACUAUGAUAAGAAUUGUUCUGAUUAUUCAAAUAAUGUACAUUUGCAGCCUGCCUUAUAUU